AACUUUCGACAACGGAUCUCUUGGCUCUCGCAUCGAUGAAGAACGCAGCGAAAUGCGAUAAUUAAUGUGAAUUGCAGAAUUCAGUGAAUCAUCGAGUCUUUGAACGCACCUUGCGCUCCCUGGUAUUCCGGGGAGCAUGUCUGUUCGAGUGUCAUGAAUCUCUCAAAUCAGAUGCCUUUAUUUGUUGUCUUGAUUUGGAUUUGGACUCUGCUGUGUCAAAUGCAGCUGGUCUUAAAAGCAUUAGCUGGUGCCCCCACCUCUGUUUGGGUUUGGUUCUACUCAGUGUGAUAAUUGUCUAUCACUGAGGACAUUCUUUAGAAUGGCCAGGCUCACUCUAGGACUGCUUCUAAUCGUCCCUUGGACAAUUCAUCUUAAUCUGACCUCGAAUCAGGUAGGACUACCCGCUGAACUUAAGCAUAUCAAUAAGCGGAGGCU
rnacentral:misc_RNA from 1 species